rnacentral:lncRNA from 1 species
AUACCUAAAGUCCCAUCCUUAAACUGCUCAAUGCAUCUUUGUUUCAAUUGAUCAGCAUAGAACAAACAGGUCUCAAACUCACCUCUCAGAGCAGCAGUAGUCAUCUUUGUAUAAUCCGAACGAGCAUCCUCGGUCAACCCUUCUACCAAAUACUGCAAACCGAGAGGACUCAUAGCAACCGGGGCGGCACGGGAGACACUAGCCGAAACAGCUUCAAAUAUCAAAAUGGAAUGAUGAGACACAAUAGCACGACCGCUCUCGCUGCAAAGAACAGGAUGCUUAACAUUCUUCCGGUCACAAACAUAGCGAAUUGCUUGAACAACGGCAGAGGCAUAUUCUUCGAGGGUAUAAGCGACUG